GAUGAACGCUGGCGGCGUGCCUAAUACAUGCAAGUCGAGCGAACAGACGAGGAGCUUGCUCCUCUGACGUUAGCGGCGGACGGGUGAGUAACACGUGGAUAACCUACCUAUAAGACUGGGAUAACUUCGGGAACCCGGAGCUAAUACCGGAUAAUAUAUUGAACCUCAUGGUUCAAUAGUGAAAGACGGUUUUGCUGUCACUUAUUCAUGGAUCCUCGCCGCAGUAGCGAGUUGGUAAGGUAACGGCUUACCAAGGCAACGAUGCGUAGCCGCCCUGAGAGGGUGAUCGGCCAGACGGGAACUGAGACACGGUACAGACUCCUACGGGAGGCAGCAGUAGGGAAUCUUCCGAAAUGGGCGAAAGCCUGAAGGAGCGAAGCCGCGUGGGUGAUGAAGGUCUUCGGAUAGGAAAACUCUGUUAUUAGGGAAGAACAAAAGUGUAAGUAAAUAUACACGUCUUGACGGUACCUAAUCAGAAAGCAACGGCUAACUACGUG
rnacentral:rRNA from 1 species